AUAUCAAUAAGCGGAGGAAAAGAAACCAACAGGGAUUGCCUUAGUAGCGGCGAGUGAAGCGGCAAUAGCUCAAAUUUGAAAUCUGGCACCUUCGGUGUCCGAGUUGUAAUUUGAAGAAGGUAUCUUUGGUUUUGGCUCUUGUCUAUGUUCCUUGGAACAGGACGUCACAGAGGGUGAGAAUCCCGUGCGAUGAGAUGCCCAAUUCCAUGUAAAGUUCCUUCGACGAGUCGAGUUGUUUGGGAAUGCAGCUCUAAGUGGGUGGUAAAUUCCAUCUAAAGCUAAAUAUUGGCGAGAGACCGAUAGCGAACAAGUACUGUGAAGGAAAGAUGAAAAGAACUUUGAAAAGAGAGUGAAAAAGUACGUGAAAUUGUUGAAAGGGAAGGGCUUGAGAUUAGACUUGGAAUUUUCCAUUUAUGGAGCUUUCCGGGCCAGCAUCAGUUUGGAUGGCAGGAUAAUUGCGUUGGAAAGUAGCACCACUUCGGUGGUGUGUUAUAGACUUCGUCGAUACUGCCUAUCUAGACUGAGGACCGCGUCUUUGACUAGGAUGCUG
rnacentral:rRNA from 1 species